AGGAACUCAGUGCAUCAUGGGAAGUCUCCUGGCAGUCUAGGCCUAUAGCAGCAUAACUAAGGGAUGGUUCAGGACUCACCCAAGCCAGCCCUAAGUAUAAGCUUUAUCAUGCGUCUCGGAGAGGGACACAUUAUGUAAAUAGUUGCAUUGCCAGCCAGGAAAUGUGCAGCUAGAGUCACAUGUUGCUGACAGUCCAAAAUUGGUCAAAUAUUAAUUGAGGACGGACUGUAUCCAGACAAUGACUGGACCGAAAUGAUGCAAUGAAGAUGCAUAGACAGAAACCUCCCAUGCAGUGAUAGUAAGGUCACAAAAACAAAUCAAAGUCUGUGAGAUUUAAACAGGUUACACAAAGUCAUUUAAGGACAAUUCUUUAUUUACUAAAAUGUUGAUCUUUCUAAGCUAUUUUUUAUAUAAAACUGAUUAGGAGUACACUGAGGAUAAAAAGGUGAAAUACAUUUGACAGACAAAAACAGGAGCACCAUUUAAAAAAAACGAUUUCCAGCAAGAGGUGGCUAACAUGUCUGCAUGGUUUCCCAAAAGAAGUUAAAAACUUAAAAACUGUUUUUAUAUAUUUCACGGCAUUUAAGGAGACUAAAAUAUUCACCAGUAAGAAUGAAAAACACAGUUCAUUUAGUAACUGUCCUCCACACAACAUAGUGCUGAAUGAAUCAUUAUUGCUCUUCAAAUAUAUCAAGUUUACUGAGGUGCAUAUUUCAAAUAAAUGAAAUUGGUUGGGGCUCUAUAGUUAAAGUUAGUGGUAACUAAAUGGUAGCUAAUAAGUUAGCUAACUCAGCUAGGUUGCAAAUGGUAGCCCAUCAACCUGUAGGCCUCUGCAUGCUAAAAGGAUAACACAGCAGCUACAUACAUUUCUGUGUGUGUGUGUGUGUGUGUAUGUGUACUUGGACUUUACAAGGCCACACAAAUGAACGGACUGCUUAUGUUCUGACGGUGUCUGUGUGUGUUAUGGCUUGAGCAUGCAUGUUGUCUAAGUAGAAAGAUCAAAGGUCAUCAGAUAGGACAGCUUUUUCUCUGGCACGUGACCAGAUAGAUAAGCAACCUCUCGGCACAGGUCGUAUUAUUUUAGUGUGUGUUUGUGUGUACCAGUGUGUUUGAUUAGUUUUACUGAACGUCCUUUAUCGAUCCUCAGGGGUUCCACCGAGAUGAAAGAAAAUUGGAAGACUACAUGAAAGGUUCCGGUGGCGUGGGACCGUGCUGUGAUAUGAACACAAUUUUUAAGUCAUGGAACACAAGCUAAAUAGCCAGCUAGCCAAACUCAAACCUUACUUAUCUUAUCAUUUUUGUCUUCUGUCUUAAGGCUUCAGCUGCAGAACCUUGACUAACAGUAGAACUGGUAUCGCUGGGCUCACUGGGCUCACUGGGCUCACUGGGCUGCUCUCUCUCCUCUCUGCUGCCAGUGACUGCGGACUCACUAGGCUGAGAUGAUUGACAGAUGAAACAGACGGGUACAUUGAACUGCAGGCUGCAGACCAAUGUGUUUAUAGUACGACCAACAGCAGCCCUCGUCCCACGCCUCCUGCUGAAGCACACAAACGCUGUAUUUUGCACAUUUAUAUUUCUGCAGAUUAAUAAAUAGUUGUGGAACCAAA